CGCGUAGGCGGCUUGGUCAGUCGGAUGUGAAAGCCCCGGGCUUAACCUGGGAAUUGCAUUCGAUACUGCCAGACUAGAGUGUAGUAGAGGGAAGCGGAAUUCCAGGUGUAGCGGUGAAAUGCGUAGAUAUCUGGAGGAACAUCAGUGGCGAAGGCGGCUUCCUGGACUAACACUGACGCUGAGGUGCGAAAGCGUGGGGAGCAAACA
rnacentral:rRNA from 1 species